GACAGAGGUGCCAAGCGUUAGGCGGAAUCACUGGGCUUAAAGCGUGUGUAGGCGGGCGGCCAAGUACCUUGUGAAAUCCCACGGCUCAACCGUGGAACUGCUGGGUAUACUGGUCGUCUUGAGCCAAUCAGGGGCGAGCGGAACAGACGGUGGAGCGGUGAAAUGCGUAGAUAUCGGGAGGAACACCGGUGGCGAAGGCGGUUCUCUGGGCCUGUACUGACGCUGAGGAGCGAAAGCGUGGGGAGCGAACAGG
rnacentral:rRNA from 1 species